GUGAGGAAUUUUCCGCAAUGGGCGAAAGCCUGACGGAGCAAUGCCGCGUGAAGGAUGAAGGCCUAUGGGUUGUAAACUUCUUUUCUUAGAGAAGAAUAUUGACGGUAUCUGAGGAAUAAGCACCGGCUAACUCCGUGCCAGCAGCCGCGGUAAUACGGAGGGUGCAAGCGUUAUCCGGAAUCACUGGGUUUAAAGGGUACGUAGGCGGUUAAUUAAGUCAGUAGUGAAAGACUGUCGCUCAACGACGGAUGUGCUAUUGAUACUGGUGAACUUGAAUCAGGUUAGAGUUGGCGGAAUGGGUCAUGUAGCGGUGAAAUGCUUAGAUAUGACUUGGAACACCGAUAGCGAAGGCAGCUGACUGAGCCUUGAUUGACGCUGAGGUACGAAAGUGUGGGUAGCGAACAGGAUUAGAAACCCCAGUAGUCC
rnacentral:rRNA from 1 species